UAAUACAGAGGGUGCGAGCGUUAAUCGGAAUAACUGGGCGUAAAGGGCGCGUAGGCGGUUGAUCAAGUGAGAGGUGAAAUCCCCGGGCUUAACCUGGGAACAGCCUUUCAGACUGGUUAGCUAGAGUACAGUAGAGGGUGGUGGAAUUUCCGGUGUAGCGGUGAAAUGCGUAGAGAUCGGAAGGAACAUCAGUGGCGAAGGCGACCACCUGGACUGACACUGACGCUGAGGCGCGAAAGCGUGGGUAGCAAACAGGAUUAGAUACCCUGGUAGUCCACGCUGUAAACGAUGAGAACUAGAUGUUUGUUUGCGCGAGCGAAUGAGUAUCGAAGCUAACGCGAUAAGUUCUCCGCCUGGGGAGUACGGCCGCAAGGUUA
rnacentral:rRNA from 1 species